UGUUGAGCCUUUAGCUAUGGCACUAGGGUUUUAGGUCAUCACAAAUUAAAAUUGAUUUUUUUCACUGAGAGAAUAUUAAGAUACCGGGAUUAUCUAUGUAUUCUCUGAAAUUUGCGGGAUCAAACAGUU
ensembl:snoRNA Gm23987 predicted gene, 23987